rnacentral:misc_RNA from 1 species
GGCAUCGAGAACUGCGCCUCCGGUUUUAUCACUCACUCAGCCGCCGAUAUCACCCCUCAAAUUCAGACAGCCGACGUCGACUCCGAUUGGCCAGCCACCAAGCCAAUCGGCCCCGUGCCGAACCUUGUUGUUUCAGCUGGAAAUGUGCUUGAUGUUUACUUGAUUAGGGUUGAACAAGCAUCAUCCAGGGAUGCCGCCGAAGUAGUGAAACGUGGUGGCCUUGUGGCCGG